CUCCAAGUGUGGCCUAAUUAGUGUCUUAUAAAGCCUCAGCCUCAUUUCUUUGCUUUUAUAUUGAGGUGUUGGGAUACAAGCUGGACAGAGUUUGAACGAGAUAGUUGAUACAUCAUUGAGGUGUUGGGAUACAGGCUGGACAGAGAUUGAACAAGAUGGUUGAUACAUCAUUGAGGUGUUGGGAUACGGGCUGGACAGAGAUUGAACAAGAUGGUUGAUAUAUAUCAUUGAGGUGUUGGGAUACAGGCUGGACAGAGAUUGAACAAGAUGGUUGAUACAUCAUUGAGGUGUUGGGAUACGGGCUGGAGAGAGAUUGAAUAAGAUGGUUGAUAUAUAUCAUUGAGGUGUUGGGAUGCAGACUGGACAGAGAUUGAACAAGAUGGUUGAUAUAUCACUGAGGUGUUGGGAUACAGGCUGGACAGAGAUUGAACAAGAUGGUUGAUACAUCAUUGAGGUGUUGGGAUACGGGCUGGAGAGAGAUUGAAUAAGAUGGUUGAUAUAUAUCAUUGAGGUGUUGGGAUACAGGCUGGACAGAGUUUGAACGAGAUGGUUGAUAUGUAUCAUUGAGGUGUUGGGAUACAGGCUGGACAGAGUUUGAACGAGAUGGUUGAUAUGUAUCAUUGAGGUGUUGGGAUACAGGCUGGACAGAGUUUGAACGAGAUGGUUGAUAUGUAUCAUUGAGGUGUUGGGAUACAGGCUGGACAGAGUUUGAACGAGAUGGUUGAUAUAUUAUUGAGGUGUUGGGAUACAGGCUGGACAGAGAUUGAACAAGAUGGUUGAUA